rnacentral:rRNA from 1 species
GACGAAGGAUGCAAGCGUUAUCCGGAUUCAUUGGGUUUAAAGGGAUCGUAGGUGGCCUUGUAAGUCAGUGGUGAAAUCUCUCGGCUUAACUGAGAAAUUGCCAUUGAUACUGCAGGGCUUGAGUACAGAUGCCGUUGGCGGAAUAUGACAUGUAGUGGUGAAAUACAUAGAGAUGUCAUAGAACACCGAUUGCGAAGGCAGCUGACGAAACUGUAACUGACACUGAGGCUCGAAAGUGUGGGGAUCAAACAGG